rnacentral:tRNA from 5 species
GGCCAUGUGGCGCAACUGAAUAGCGCACUUGAUUACGGCUCAAGAGGUUCUAGGUUUGAAUCCUAGCAUGGUCACCA